UAAAAUAAAACUGACAUUUCUGCAACAGUGAGUUUUACGGAGGUAAACAAACAGCAUAAUGUGUUAAAUUAAAAAAACAUCAUUUUUGGAUGUUUGGAGACUCUAGAUACUGAUGACACUGAAAUCAGGUCUCUAUUUUCUCUGAUUUACAUUUCGUAAGGUUGUAUCCUACAACAACAAAGGCAUUCAGAGAGCGCAGUACUCCACCAAGGCCGCUCAGUCCUUGUAUCAUUUCUGAUGGAUAAGUCCCAGAUGAGAUCAGUAGCGAUGAGGUAUGGUUGAAAACUCAGCGAUUACCAGUAGACGAAGAAAGACUGAGCACCAGACAACCCUCAAGGAAAGAGAGGAAACACCUGACGAAAGAAUCUACAAAAGGACGUCAAGGUGUUUGGGUGCACCAAUACCCAACUGGAAGGAAAAGCUCCACAUCAGAUACCCUAGAAGAUGUGUUUGAUGCUAUCUUUGGGGGCACUUGAAGGCCAUGGUGUAUCAGGUGAAGAUACGAGACAUAAAUCAUCUCCAGGAACGUAUCACCAACGCCAUUACAAGCAGAACUUCAACUGUGCUAAUGCAAGUUCAUCACCAGUGGAAAACAUGUAUUAGUAUGUGUUUUGGAAACAAUGGUAAUCAUAUAAAACACAUUAUAUAUAUAAAAACGGUUGACCAACAUGAAACGUGUAUUUUUCCUAUAUAUGGAACUUAUGGCCCAUCCUGUACUUACACCCAGAAGGGAUGUCUGGUGGCCUUAGAGGAGUCAUAGUUAUCUUGGUGACCAAAGAGAAUUCACAGUUGUCUCACUGGCCUCAGAGGAGUCAUGGUUGUCUUGGUGACCGAAGAGAAGUCAUAGUUGUCUUACUGGCCUCACAGGAGUCAUGGUUGUCUUGGUGACCGAAGAGAAGUCAUAGUUGUCUUGGUGGCCUCAGAGUAGUCAUAGUUGUUUUGGUGGCCUCAGAGGAAUCAUAGUUGUCUUAGUGGCCUCACAGGAGUCCUAGUUGUCUUAGUGGCCUCACAAGAGUCAUAGUUGUCUUGGUGGCCUCACAGGGUCAUAGUUCCCUUGAUGGCCUCACAGGAGUCAUAGUUGUCUUGGUGGCCUCACAGGACUCAUAGUUGUCUUGGUGACCUCAGAUGAGUCAUAGUUGUCUUGGUGCCACCAAGUUGGUGGCCUCAGAAGAAUCCUAGGUGUCAUGGAGGUCUCUGAGGAAUCAUUGUUAUCUUGGUGUUCUCAGAGGAGUCAUAGUUGUCAUGGAGGUCUUAGAGGAAUCAUAGUUGUCAUGGUGACAAAAAAGAAUUCAAAGUUGUCUUGGUGUCCUCAGAGAAUUCAUAGUUGUCUUAGUGGCCUCAGAGGAAUCAUGGUUGUCUUGGUGACUAAAGAGAAGUCAUAGUUGUCUUGGUUGCCUCACAGGAGUCAUAGUUGUUUUGGUGGCCUCACAGGAGUCAUAGUUAUCUUGGUGGCCUCAGAUGAGUCAUAGGUGUCUUGGUGGCCUCAGAGGAAUCAUAGUUGUCUAGGUGGCCUCAGAGGAAUCAUAGUUGUCUAGGUGGCCUCAGACGAAUCAUAGUUGUCUUGGUGGCCUCAGAGGAAUCAUAGUUGUCUUAGUGGCCUCACAGGAGUCAUAGUUGUCAUGGUGGUCCACAUAAAAUGUUUAUUUCUCCUAUGUAUGGAAAGUUAUGGCUCACCCUGUAGUUACGCCCAGAAGGGAUGUCAGGGAAUGUGAAGAAGCUCUGGUGGCUAAAUGGUAAAGACUCUGGGCUGCUGAUAAGAAUGUCGGAGGUUCGUGACCCAAUGCUGCCAUUUUUGGGCCCUUGAGCAAGGCCCUCAACCCUACCUGCUCCAGAAGCCGACCCUUUGUCUGAGAAGAGAAUUUCACAAUGCUGCAAUGUAUUUAUGAAAAUAACGGCUUCUUCUUCUUUUAUAAUUAUGCAUGGAAGGAAUUUUCAAAAACAUUCCGACUUUCACACGCAGGUGGCAGAAAUUGCGAGUUUAAUGGUAAAAUCAAAGCUGCAGUCAUGAAACUCGGCAGUUUGUUUUGGAUUAUAUGGUCAUUUACAGGGUUUGUGGCGCUAUUUGCAGUAUUGUGACAGCUGUUGGUGUGAUUUAGGCCACCCUGACGAACAGAAAAGAUGUUGACACGUAGAUGCUGAGACUUUCCCACAGAGAAUCAGGCCCUAAACUCCUGACCUCAGUGUUUUUCUGUCCUGCUGAGCCACCAUGAACCAAAAUGGAUCAGGUUACCGUCGACUGCUUCCCCAGACAGGUCUGAAUUUUCUCUCUUUAUUCCUUCAAAUACCGCGAAAAAAAACACUUCGCAUUUCAUUCUAAAAACGUGCGCUGGAAGCCUAAUCACCACUCAGACUCGGCUUUCCAUAAUUAGAGCGGCCGCGCAUGAGCGUGUCUGUGCGCUCCGGAGGCCGGUUUGUGUGUCCGUGUGAGUAAUAGCGCUUCCCCGGUGGAUGCCUCCCUCCAGCCUCGGAGCCAUUAUGUACAGCGGGGAGGCGGAGGCGAGGGCGAGGCGGGGCGCGGGAGCCAGCGGCACGCACGCUCCAUUAGCGGACCCACUGCCGCGCCACUCUGCCGGUAAUUUGCGUAACGAGAUUGGAGCGAGCCCCGUUGGCUGGCUGCGGUCUCUCUGCCUCUCCUCGCCGUCUGCGCACCGCUUUUCCGGCCCUUAUUUCCGAUGCAGCCCGCAGCAGCAGCAGCAGCGGCGGCGGCGGAGGAGGAGGAGGAAGGAGACGGAGGAUGUGUGAGCGGUGCUCCCACAUAUGCGGUUUCCCCUCCGUUUUAUUUUUAUCUCUCCACGGGUUCCGUUUUUCGCCGAUACUCAAGCGCCGCCAAGUGGACGAAGGUGGCACGGUGGAGGAGCGGCUGAUGCGCGGCUGAUGCGCUCUGCCUUCAGCGCUCUGGAAAGAAAGAGAAUUGUUGGACAAACUUAUAUUAAUUGCUCCAGUUGGUAAUUGAAUUAGUUGAAUUAAUGUCACCGGAUUAAGUUGGGUGGACUUAAAUCAUUUUAUUCCUCUCGAAUGGUUGUUUGUGUUGCUUCAUUUUUUGAAAGUAAACUUGAAAUGUCCAUUUUUUCUUUUUAUCUCUCCCUUUUUUAAGUAUUUUUUUGUACAGAAAUGUAAUGUGUAGUACUUGAUUUUGUGAUUAAACUUAUUGUUUUCUUGCAGCACUAAAAAAGUGAAGAAACAAGGAUGUGAAAGGCCCAGUGAAAAAGGCUACACAAACCUCAUUCAAAUACCAGUUUAAAGGGGAAAGGUGUAAUUUCAUGUUGAUUAGUAAUUGAAUUAAGGUGGCCUCGUAGGAGUCAUAGGUGUCUUGGUGGCCUCAGAGGAAUCAUAGUUGUCUUGGUGGCCUCAGAGGAGUCAUAGUUGUCUUGGUGGCCUCAGAGGAGUCAUAGCUGUCUUGGUGGCCUCAGAGGAAUCAUAGAUGUCUUGGUGGCCUCAGAGGAGUCAUGGUUGUCUUGGUGGCCUCAGAGGGAUCAUAGUUUUCUUGGUGGCCUCAGAGGAGUCAUGGUUGUCUUGGUGAUCUCAGAGAGGUCAUAGUUGUCUUGGUGGCCUCAGAGGAGUCAUAGUUGACUUGGUGGCCUCAGAGGAGUCAUAGUUGUCUUGGUGGCUUCAGAAGAAUUAUAGGUGUCUUGGUGGCCUCAGAUGAGUCAUAGUUGUCUUGGUGGCCUCAGAGGAGUCAUAGUUGUCUUGGUGGCCUCAGAUGAAUCAUAGUUGUCUUGGUGGCCUCAGAGGAGUCAUAGUUGUCUUGGUGGCCUCAGAGGAGUCAUAGUUGUCUUAGUGGCCUCAGAUGAGUCAUAGUUGUCUUAGUGGCCUUCCCUCACUAGUCUCUUUCUUGCACAGACACUCAGUUGUUAAGGGAGGCCUGUUCUGGACAGAUUUACACAUUUGCCAUUUCUUUCCACUUCUUUAUGAUGGAUUUAACUGAACUCCAAGGAAUAUUUAGUGACUUGGAAAUCUUCAUGUAUAUAUAUUUACCUUUACCUUUUUUAUUUGACCUUUUCACAGAGUUGCUUGUUGUGAUUUUUUAAAAUUUAUUUGUUAUAGCCAGAAGUACUGAUUCACCAGUGACUGGGACCUUCCAGAUACAAGCAUAUUUAUACUCUAAUCAUUUGGGGCACAUUCACUGCAUUCACAUUAUCUCUAUUUCACUAAUUGUGUGACUUUUUCCAUGUGUCUAGGAUUCAUUUUAAAAAGAACCUAAUUUCUUUGGGUUUUUUUUUUUGCAUUUGUUGACCAGUCUUCUUAUUCAGUCUGUAUUCAGUUAAUGUGUUUCUCUAUUUCUGGUCACACACGGUGCCCAGAUAACUUGCCACUUGAUCCUUUCUUAGAUUUUUGUAGAAAAUGUCCUGUGAUGAAAGUACUUUUCUUUUUAUUUCUGAGGUCAGUUAACAAUAUAAAGUGAAAUAAAGCCACCAUGUUUACAAUACACUUCAGCAGCUACAGGAGCAAUGAAUAGACGUCAAACUGAACUGUUAUUCUGUAUAUUUAUUGAUAAUAAGACCACUGAUGGUGACUUAGUCAAUAGUAGACAGCAUGGUGAAAUACUUCUUGAGUGUCUAGUGACCCCAUGUGUAAGCUAGAUGGUAUUACAAUUUAGUAUUUACAGUCAACAAUAUCAGUUCGGAGAAGGUAAAGUAAGAGUUUCAGAGCGCUGGAAAACAUACAUUCACUAAAUAAAUGUACAG